CAGCCGCCGCGGUAAUACGUAGGUCCCGAGCGUUGUCCGGAUUUAUUGGGCGUAAAGCGAGCGCAGGCGGUUAGAUAAGUCUGAAGUUAAAGGCUGUGGCUUAACCAUAGUACGCUUUGGAAACUGUUUAACUUGAGUGCAAGAGGGGAGAGUGGAAUUCCAUGUGUAGCGGUGAAAUGCGUAGAUAUGUGGAGGAACACCGGUGGCGAAAGCGGCUCUCCGGCUUGUAACUGACGCUGAGGCUCGAAAGCGUGGGGAGCAAACAGGAUUAGAUACCCCAGUAGUCCCUGUCUCUUAUACC
rnacentral:rRNA from 1 species